rnacentral:rRNA from 1 species
UACGGAGGAUGCGAGCGUUAUCCGGAUUUAUUGGGUUUAAAGGGUGCGUAGGCGGAUUUUUAAGUCAGCGGUAAAAUGUCCGGGCUCAACCCGGGCCGGCCGUUGAAACUGGGGAUCUUGAGUGGGCGAGAAGUAUGCGGAAUGCGUGGUGUAGCGGUGAAAUGCAUAGAUAUCACGCAGAACUCCGAUUGCGAAGGCAGCAUACCGGAGCCCGACUGACGCUGAGGCACGAAAGCGUGGGGAUCGAACAGG